CAGCAGCCACGGUAAUACGUAGGGUGCAGGCGUUAAUCGGAAUUACUGGGCGUAAAGCGUGCGCAGGCGGUUUCGUAAGACAGAUGUGAAAUCCCCGGGCUUAACCUGGGAACUGCAUUUGUGACUGCGAGGCUAGAGUGUGUCAGAGGGGGGUGGAAUUCCACGUGUAGCAGUGAAAUGCGUAGAUAUGUGGAGGAACACCGAUGGCGAAGGCAGCCCCCUGGGAUAACACUGACGCUCGUGCACGAAAGCGUGGGGAGCAAACAGGAUUAGAUACCCCUGUAGUCCCUGUCUCUUAUAC
rnacentral:rRNA from 1 species